UGAACCCUUGGGGGCAUCGACCGCUGUCUGCAAGAGUCAAGUGUAAUUACCGUGUUUGCACCAAAUCCUCCUGACCUGGACUAACACUGAUGCUCAGCUGACCCACACACACUCCCACACAAGGGCUGCAGUGUGCCUAGUUAUCCAGAGGAGAUGACAGCAGCUAUAAUUACAUUAGUGCUAAACCAUUACGGCUGACUGACCACAUACUUGACUACAGGACCAGAUAUACAGGCCACUGGCAGAUAAAUCCACCCCAAACUCAUGCCACUGGUCAAGCUACUCAAACACAG